rnacentral:rRNA from 1 species
AGUGAACGCUGGCGGUAGGCCUAACACAUGCAAGUCGAACGGCAGCACAGUAAGAGCUUGCUCUUACGGGUGGCGAGUGGCGGACGGGUGAGGAAUACAUCGGAAUCUACUUUUUCGUGGGGGAUAACGUAGGGAAACUUACGUUAAUACCGCAUACGACCUACGGGUGAAAGCAGGGGAUCUUCGGACCUUGCGCGAUUGAAUGAGCCGAUGUCGGAUUAGCUAGUUGGCGGGGUAAGGGCCCACCAAGGCGACGAUCCGUAGCUGGUCUGAGAGGAUGAUCAGCCACACUGGAACUGAGACACGGUCCAGACUCCUACGGGAGGCAGCAGUGGGGAAUAUUGGACAAUGGGCGCAAGCCUGAUCCAGCCAUACCGCGUGGGUGAAGAAGGCCUUCGGGUUGUAAAGCCCUUUUGUUGGGAAAGAAAAGCAGCAGGUUAAUACCCCGCUGUUCUGACGGUACCCAAAGAAUAAGCACCGGCUAACUUCGUG